rnacentral:rRNA from 1 species
UACGUAGGGUGCAAGCGUUGUCCGGAAUUAUUGGGCGUAAAGAGCUCGUAGGCGGUCUGUCGCGUCGAUCGUGAAAACUUGGGGCUUAACCCUGAGCUUGCGGUCGAUACGGGCAUGACUGGAGUUCGGCAGGGGAGACUGGAAUUCCUGGUGUAGCGGUGAAAUGCGCAGAUAUCAGGAGGAACACCGGUGGCGAAGGCGGUUCUCUGGGCAUUACCUGACGCUGAGGAGCGAAAGUGUGGGGAGCGAACAGG